rnacentral:rRNA from 1 species
UAGUAACUGCGAGUGAAGCGGGAAAAGCUCAAAUUUAAAAUCUGGCGGUCUUUGGCCGUCCGAGUUGUAGUCUGGAGAAGUGCUUUCCGCGCUGGACCGUGUAUAAGUCUCUUGGAACAGAGCGUCAUAGAGGGUGAGAAUCCCGUCUUUGACACGGACUACCAGUGCUUUGUGAUGCGCUCUCAAAGAGUCGAGUUGUUUGGGAAUGCAGCUCAAAAUGGGUGGUGAAUUCCAUCUAAAGCUAAAUAUUGGCGAGAGACCGAUAGCGAACAAGUACCGUGAGGGAAAGAUGAAAAGCACUUUGGAAAGAGAGUUAAACAGUACGUGAAAUUGCUGAAAGGGAAACGCUUGAAGUCAGUCGCGUUGUUCGGAACUCAGCCUUGCUUUUGCUUGGUGCAUUUUCCGGAUGACGGGUCAGCAUCGAUUUUGACCGUCGGAAAAGGGCUGGAGUAAUGUGGCACCUCCGGGUGUGUUAUAGACUUCAGUCGCAUACGGCGGUCGGGAUCGAGGAACGCAGCGCGCCGUAAGGCAGGGGUUCGCCCACUUUCGCGCUUAGGAUGCUGGCAUAAUGGCUUUAAACGACCCGUCUUGAAACACGGACCAAGGAGUCUAACAUACCUGCGAGUGUUUGGGUGGCAAACCCGAGCGCGUAAUGAAAGUGAAAGUUGAGACCUCUGUCGAGGAGGGCAUCGACGCCCGGACCUGACGUUCUCUGACGGAUCCNCGGUAGAGCAUGUAUGUUGGGACCCGAAAGAUGGUGAACUAUGCCUGAAUAGGGUGAAGCCAGAGGAAACUCUGGUGGAGGCUCGUAGCGAUUCUGACGUGCAAAUCGAUCGUCAAAUUUGGGUAUAGGGGCGAAAGACUAAUCGAACCAUCUAGU